ensembl:misc_RNA 7SK 7SK RNA
GGAUGUGAGGGUGAUCUGGCUGCGACAUCUGUCACCCCAUUGAUCUCCAGGGUUGAUUCGGCUGAUCUGGCUGGCUAGGCGUGCGUCCCCUUCCUCCCUCACCGCUCCAUGUGCGUCCCUCCCGAAGCUGCGCGCUGGGUGGAAGAGGACGGCCUUCCCCGAAUAGAGACGGACCAGUCUUGGGUGGAGGGAAUAUGAGUAGCUGCGCUCCCCUGCUAGAACCUCCAAACAAGCUCUCAAGAAUAAAAUGAGCAUCUUAUCUCUGGAAAAAAAAAAAAAAAAAGACAAGAUAGGAUGAAAACAGAGUUUCUCAGAGGAAAAUUCUUAAGUUU